rnacentral:rRNA from 1 species
GUGGGGAAUAUUGGACAAUGGGCGCAAGCCUGAUGCAGCAACGCCGCGUGAGGGACGACGGCCUUCGGGUUGUAAACCUCUUUUAGCAGGGAAGAAGCGAAAGUGACGGUACCUGCAGAAAAAGCACCGGCUAACUACGUGCCAGCAGCCGCGGUAAUACGUAGGGUGCAAGCGUUGUCCGGAAUUAUUGGGCGUAAAGAGCUCGUAGGCGGUUUGUCGCGUCUGCUGUGAAAACCCGAGGCUCAACCUCGGGCCUGCAGUGGGUACGGGCAGACUAGAGUGCGGUAGGGGAGAUUGGAAUUCCUGGUGUAGCGGUGGAAUGCGCAGAUAUCAGGAGGAACACCGAUGGCGAAGGCAGAUCUCUGGGCCGUAACUGACGCUGAGGAGCGAAAGCGUGGGGAGCGAACAGGAUUAGAAACCCGUGUAGUCC